rnacentral:misc_RNA from 1 species
UACAAAUUAUUAUUACAUUUUUUUUAAUAAUGCGAAAUUUACCCAGUAACCUGUGUCCCGUGACAGAAUUUCCAAAUAUCUCCCAGUGACUGAGAACUAUUCGUGAAUACUGUAAUCACAUACUGAAUACUGUAAUCGCAGUAAUCCCAUCUUUAAAAAUAAAUGUUUUUGUUUUGAUUUGAAAACAAGUCCUCGACGGAUUUGCUUCUAGAAGUUGAGAUAUGGCAUGAUCCUAGCCUUGAUGGCAUUGAACCCGAACAGACACCCACUGACCGCUCGCUGUGCGCCACACCGGAUCCGACGAAUUUGUCAUAGCCAAUCUCAAGCGGACACUGUCCAACGGUCUGUACACUCCACGGGACAAGCGGGGAUGGAUCAAGGUUUGGCAGCUGUUUGCUUUGAUCUUGGAUAAGAGUGGUGCUGACAUCGAGAUCUU